GUUGGUGGAGUAACAGCCUACCAAGGCGACGAUGGGUAGCCGGCCUGAGAGGGUGGACGGCCACACUGGGACUGAGACACGGCCCAGACUCCUACGGGGGGCAGCAGUAGGGAAUUUUCGGCAAUGGGCGAAAGCCUGACCGAGCGACGCCGCGUGAGGGACGAAGGCCUUCGGGUUGUAAACCUCUGUCUGGAGGGACGAGAAUGGACGGUACCUCCGGAGGAAGCCCCGGCUAACUACGUGCCAGCAGCCGCGGUAAUACGUAGGGGGCGAGCGUUGUCCGGAAUUAUUGGGCGUAAAGGGCGCGCAGGCGGUCAUAUAAGUCGGUUGUGAAAGUCUAGGGCUUAACUCUAGGAUGCCGGCCGAAACUGUAUGGCUUGAGGGCAAGAGAGGGAGGCGGAAUUCCCGGUGUAGCGGUGAUAUGCGUAGAUAUCGGGAGGAACACCAGUGGCGAAGGCGGCCUCCUGGAUUGCACCUGACGCUGAGGCGCGAAAGCUGGGGGAGCGAACGGGAUUAGAUACCCCGGUAGUCCCAGCCGUAAACGAAGGAUGCUAGGUGUAGGGGGUAUCGACCCCCUCUGUGCCGCAGUUAACGCAUUAA
rnacentral:rRNA from 1 species